rnacentral:rRNA from 1 species
UACAGAGGGCUCAAGCGUUGUUCGGAUUCAUUGGGCGUAAAGGGUGCGUAGGUGGCGGGGUAAGUCAGGUGUGAAAUCUCGGGGCUCAACCCCGAAACUGCACUUGAUACUGCCUUGCUCGAGUACUGGAGAGGAGAUUGGGAUUUACGGUGUAGCAGUGAAAUGCGUAGAUAUCGUAAGGAAGACCAGUGGCGAAGGCGGCUCACUGGCCCGUUACUGACGCUGAGGCACGAAAGCGUGGGGAGCAAACAGG